AUUGAACGCUGGCGGCAGGCCUAACACAUGCAAGUCGAACGAGUGGCGGACGGGUGAGUCAUGUCUGGGAAACUGCCAGAUGGAGGGGGAUAACUACUGGAAACGGUAGCUAAUACCGCAUACCAUCGGAUGUGCCCAGAUGGGAUUAGAUAGUAGGUGGGGUAAAGGCUCACCUAGGCGACGAACCCUAGCUGGUCUGAGAGGAUGACCGGCACCACUGGAACUGAGACACGGUCCAGACUCCUACGGGAGGCUGCAGUGGGGAAUAGUGCACAAUUGGCGCUAGCCUGAUGCAGCCAUGCCGCGUGUAUGAAGAAGGCCUUCGGUUUGUAAAGUACUUUCAGCGGGGAGGCGUUACCCGCAGAAGAAGCACCGGCUAACUCCGUGCCAGCAGCCGCGGUAAUUC
rnacentral:rRNA from 1 species